AAAAAAGAAUUGUUUUGGCUACACUGGUUAGCGUCGGCGUGUAAUUGCCGUGGCGGAAAGUGGACAAUUUGCUUCAGCAAAUUGACUCCGUCGCAGAGACAAGAAUGGUGUACUACGGCAGAAUUGCCCCGUCGCAUAAAUCAUAUUUUUAUACGACGGCAGAACUUCCCCGUCGAAUAAAUCAUAAUUGUACACUACAGCAAAACUACCCCGUCGCAUUUUUUGAUAUCAAUUGCUACCCCAAGUCUCUGCCGUCGGGUUCUAAACUCUAUGUUAGAUUGCAAAAGAGAAUCAAAUCAUAAACAGAAAAAUAGUCGAGCAGUUUUUCUUUGGGUGACGCCUUCUCUGUUGAAUUUCUGCUCUCUACGUGCUUCUUUCUUUCUUUCUUUCUUUCAUCAGAUCUAUGAUCGAUGAACUAUCUAGCGUUUGGGUACUCGAAUCCAAAAGUCCCAACUACAUCUUCUUUCUCUGUAGUCUCUUGGUCACCCAUUCGUUCAACCCUAGAUCUCGUCGUUUCAAUGAAAUCGUUCACAGUUCGAGGCUCGUCUCUGAUGUCACUGAAACAUUGUUGGUUGAGGUUGAUCUUAUGGGGUAAGAAUGUUCACUAUUGCCUUAUGGACUAGUUAAUUUUGUGUAAAAUGAAAAGAUCCUCAAGGGGGCAAGCUGAAGUACACAAGAAAUAUACAACUACAAACAAUGAAAACAGAAAGUCUAGAAUUAUGAGAUUGAUAGGCAGUUCGUUUCAUAUCUAAUUGCCUCUGGUGACAAACUCAUACUGGUACUUCUUUUCCCUCAAAAUUUCCAUUUUUCAUUUGAUAUAACAUUAUUUGGUUUCUGUAUAGCCCUCAAAUAUAGUAGAUAAUCAAUUAUAUCCUUUUCUCCUUUGUAUCUGUCUAGACUUGUGUAUUAAUAAUUGUUUUUUUUUCCUUCCCAUGUUCAUAAAUGAAGAGAUGCUUCACGAGCAUUUGUUUCUGGAAACUUUACAGAAACCCAAGGGAGAUCCCAUGGGGUCAGUUUGGUGCCGAUAUUGUUGUGGAGUCUACUGGAGUGUUCACUGACAAGGACAAAGCCACUGCGCACUUGAAGUGACUGCAGGUUAUGUGUGUCAAGGAUAGUUUUGGUUGUUUUGGCUGAAUUAACACAAGAUAUGUUUCUAAGGGCCUUCUAAUGCCUAGAUCGUAAUGUUUAUUGGUAUCUUAACUAAGGUGCUUGUGCCUUAUGAAGUUUUUAUUUCAGCUCAGGACCGACAAGGUUAAUAUUGAACUCUAGAUGUUAAACAUAUAUGUUUUUUGGUCUCUUGUAUCUGUUUCAGACUGUAGCCUGCUAUAUAUUUAGAAGCUACACUUUCAGUUUCUUAAGUAAAAGUUGCUUUAAGGUUUGCUAGUAGAUUAUGAUUAUAUGUCUGCAAUAGGACCCCAAAUCAUUAGUUGUAGCUUAUGUUAUAGAUAAUGUUUGUGCAACUAUGUGGUUUAACUGCUAUAUAUGCUAGCUUCCAGUACUGUGAUGUAAAUUAGGUGUUGGUGGAGGUUCUUGAGCUCAUGUUCUUUAAAUUGUGUUUAUAGGAUCUAUCUCAAGCAGAGUAAGUGACUCCUAUGAUAUGGUUAUGAUUUCCAAGAUAAUUUUAAAUCAGUUUGCUUAUUGUGUUAUUAUUCUGUUUUCAGUUUAUCUUUGCAUAUUUCUUUGCUGAAUAAAGGAGUGGACAGAUA